rnacentral:rRNA from 1 species
CCUACGGGAGGCAGCAGUGGGGAAUAUUGCACAAUGGGCGCAAGCCUGAUGCAGCUAUGCCGCGUGUGUGAAGAAGGCCUUCGGGUUGUAAAGCACUUUCAGCGGGGAGGAAGGCGUUAAGGUUAAUAACCUUGGCGAUUGACGUUACCCGCAGAAGAAGCACCGGCUAACUCCGUGCCAGCAGCCGCGGUAAUACGGAGGGUGCAAGCGUUAAUCGGAAUUACUGGGCGUAAAGCGCACGCAGGCGGUCUGUCAAGUCGGAUGUGAAAUCCCCGGGCUCAACCUGGGAACUGCAUUCGAAACUGGCAGGCUAGAGUCUUGUAGAGGGGGGUAGAAUUCCAGGUGUAGCGGUGUAAUGCGUAGAGAUCUGGAGGAAUACCGGUGGCGAAGGCGGCCCCCUGGACAAAGACUGACGCUCAGGUGCGAAAGCGUGGGGAGCAAACAGGAUUAGAUACCCUUGUAGUC